AUGAACGCUAGCGACAGGCCUAACACAUGCAAGUCAGGGGCAGCACAAGGAGCAAUCUGAGGUGGCGACCGGCGCACGGGUGAGUAACACGUAUGCAACCUGCCUGUAAGCGGGGAAUAACCCGUUGAAAGACGGACUAAUACCGCAUAAUACUAAAUUACUGCAUGGUAAUUUAUUUAAACAUUUAUGGCUUACAGAUGGGCAUGCGCAUGAUUAGCUAGUUGGAGAGGUAACGGCUCCCCAAGGCAACGAUCAUUAGGGGUUCUGAGAGGAAGGUCCCCCACACUGGUACUGAGACACGGACCAGACUCCUACGGGAGGCAGCAGUGAGGAAUAUUGGUCAAUGGACGAGAGUCUGAACCAGCCAAGUCGCGUGCAGGAAGAAUGUCCUAUUGGAUUGUAAACUGCUUUUGCAGGGGGAAUAAAGUGCAUCACGUGUGAUGUUUUGUAUGUACUCUGCGAAUAAGGAUCGGCUAACUCCGUGCCAGCAGCAGC
rnacentral:rRNA from 1 species